GAGACAAACCACUUGAGAGCAGCUAUCCUGCUAGCCCGACACUGGACAUCUUUCACAAACUUCGGAGGAUACAUCUUCGUGUAGCUUCAAUCUUUUUUGGAUUGGCCUCGAUGCCCCUGUGCGAUACUACGAAGCCAAAAAAUUUUUCCAAAGUGACCCAGAAUUCAUAUUAGGCUGGGUUCAACUUUAUUUGAUACCUUCGAAGGGUGU
rnacentral:lncRNA from 1 species